rnacentral:tRNA from 1 species
UAAUGUGGCGCAACGGUAGCGCAGCUGAUUUGUAAUCAGCCGGUUGCAGGUUCGAAUCCUGUCAUUA